CUUGACCUCAUCGACACUCCGUCAUGUUUAUGCCACCGUCACGUCAUCCCGUUGAUUUAUGGGGAAAUCGGAAGGGAUUUCUGUUGAUUCGACUCGUAGAGGAACUGAGCGGUCGUCGGCGGAAGCCGCCGAUGAGUUUCGUGAGGUUAUCCUAAUUAACGUCCUAUUUUUGUUCUAAUUAUUCAUCCCAUAUUCAAAUUUAUUAUAUAUAAAUAAUCGAUCGUAAUAUAUAUAUAUAGAGAGAGAAUUUUUUUUAAAUAUUUUUAAUUAAAUUUAUGAUAUAAAUAAUCGAUCGUAAUAUAUAUAUAUAUAUAUAUAUAUAUAUAUAUAUAUAUUAUAAUAUAAUAUAAGUGUGUGAUAUUUUCCUUAAAGGAUGAAUAAAGAAUUUGUUUUGGGUACUUGCUUUCCUUUAUAAUUUUCUUCUUCCUCGGCAAGGAGAAGAGUGAAGCGACCGCCACUCGGGGAACUGAAUAGAAAGCUCCGCUGAUCUCCGUCUACAUACCAAUAGAAAGCUCGCAACGUCGUCAAGCCUCCCUUUGAUGGACUCCUCCUCCAAGCGGAAGAGACGCAGCGGCGACGACGAACCCCGCCCCUCGAAACCGCGCGCAGCAUCCGGGGACGAUCCUCAGGCGACCGACGACGAGGUCGAGGAGUUCUUCGCCAUCCUACGCAGGAUGCGCGACGCCUCGCGCUCCAUCGCUACCGCCGGCGGAGGAGCUCGAAGCGACGCCAGGCCGCAGCCGCCUCCGCCUCUCCCUCCCCCUCCCGCUGGGCCCAGGUGGAGCCCCGAGUUCGCGUUGGAGGACUUCCAGGGCGACGGUUGUGCCAGGGACGGUGGCGCCGCGGAUAAGGUUGCGGAGGAGAGCGCGGCGAAGCCGUCGCGUUGCCUCGAUCUGAACGCGGACCCGGAGCCGGAGGGCUUGGCUGUGGCGAGCCCCCGCGGUGAGGCUACCGCCCGCUGCGCCCGUGCGCCCGCUUAGUCUUUCAAGCUCGAACUUCUUAGCGCAUAAAGGUUCACUUAUUCUUGUGGCAUCACCGCGGAAUGAGAUAGGCGAGAAGCUUGGCUGAGACCAUCACUACGUAGAUAAAAGAGAAGGGGGGAAUAAGCAAAAACCCCUGUGUCGCAAUAGGAUGCCUUUUCCGAGGAACCGAAAUGCUAUGCCUUUUUUAUGUACAGGAAACUGACUUAAUGAACCAAAAACCCAUGGUCAUCUCAGAAGGUGAUCUACGGCGGAAGACUGAAAAAAGCAAUGAUUGAAGGCCUAUCCAGCAGAAAUAAAAUCCGAUAAAUCAGUUGUUUAAUCCAACUUAGCUUCCGGUUUUCUAUAAUUAAACAAAUCUAGAGUUUCUCAUUGGUUGACAAUAGAAGUAAUCAAUAGUUUGGUGGUGUUGGCAAGUUCUCCA